CACGUCUUUGAGAAUCGCCAUAGAAACCACUCGGUGACCCCAGUUCCCCAAAGACCCCUUGGAGCAGCGGAAGUGCUGAUAACAAAGGCGGUGAAGGCAUCCAAGCCACCCCAGGCAGCAGGGAUUUGUCAGCUGGAGGUGCCCAUGGGGUGCUGACCCACUGCUGGGCCGGGAGGGGGCAAAGAGGAUCUCUGCGUCCUGCAUCUUUCCGCUGCUGGAUUUGGGGGAAAAAGCACGGAAAGUUGGCAUGAGCCAGCGGGACCGCGGAGACCCUGCCAUUGUCAAUAGGAAAACAAAGCAAAAUUGAGAAUAAAGCUAAGGCAAAGAUGAUCCCGUUUGUAGUAUAUCUCCAAAUUGCAAACAUAGAACAGUUUCACAGUGAGGCUGCAUUAAGGAGAAAAUGAGAAAAAAUGGAGAGGAAAAGUCUCUGCAUGCGGCGCCCAUCACCGUGCCCAUCACCACAGCCUUGGGCCAUCUGCCCGCUGCGGUGACGCCUAUCUUGUGCUCAGCAGAAGCCACUUUUGCAAACCUCCCCGGCACUGCUGGUUGGAAACAAAGACAUCAAGAUGAUCUGCAAUAGCUCGGUGCAAAGAAGGGUUUGGUUCACACCUGGCUCGGGGCGCACGGCACGCAGCGCCUCUCCCAGCGGUACCCAGCCACAGCCCGUGCUUGGAGCAGGGUGCUCAGCCCACAGCUGCUCAGCCACCCAUUGAACAAGAGGAAUCAGGCAGUGGUGUGAGCUCUUCGGGGGUGAGAGGGAGUAAAAACAUUUCCCCCAAAAAGGGGGAGAAGGGAGAGGAGCGGGUCCCAAACCGGGCUCCAUCCGUCCCCUUCCCGCUGCCUCCCCGGCCGCAUCCCGCAGCACUGGCUGCGACGCUCAUUAUAAUUUACAAUAAAGACAUGGGAACAGUGACAUUUACUGCAGACCUUAUGCUCAUUAAAACAGUCUCAUUGCCUCAUUAAUUCCAUUUUUCAGAAAUUACGUUCAUUUUUAUGCACUAUAUUAGCUCCUCAUGCAUUUCACAUGCUGCUAUUCCACAUUUAAGGAAUAUGUCUCAGAGAGGUUUCCAAAUCAGCAAUCCCAGUGCCCUAGAAGCAAAAUAAUUACUUUUUCCAUUGCUAGUUCCUGUUAAGCCACUCAAGAUAAAUAAAAUUAAUGCAACUACAUUUGUCAUGUGAAUUUAAUUAUUCCAAACAGCAUUAGCCAGUGCUAUAAUUGUGCAGUAAAUGUGCUUCAUGACAUCAGGACGCACCGAGCAGCAUGGAGAAGCGUUUUUACAUUUCCAGGAGCACCACAGAAGCACAAUACCAAAAUUAGGGUGGGAGAGGAGGCUGAUGUCCAUAUGGGACCGACAGGAACAGCCAGUGAUACAACAAGUUGGAGCCCAGAUACUGAACAAGGAUUGCAGCAAAUGCACGCACUGAGCUCUGCUUUAACUUCGUAGCGCUGGUCAGGUGUAGGCACAAGGUGCCCAGGAGAGUGGUGGGGUCACCAGCCCUGGAGGGUGUUCAAGAGCCGUGGAGAUGUGGCACUUGGGGCUCUUGGAGGUCCCUUCCAACCCAAGCCAAUCAAUGAUCCUAUGACGUGGUCAGUGGGCACGGUGGGGAGGGGUUGGUUGGACGUGGGGAUCUCAGAGGACUUUUCCAAAUGUAGUGAUUCUAUGGUUCCAUGAUCCCCAUCUCAUCUCCCUCAGCCUCCUCCCCUCCCCAGCACGAGUCUCCAUCUCCCUCCAGCUCAGCCAAACCCUCUGUAUAUAUUUAGUCCCUUGCCUAUGCCUCACAGCCACUCUCCUCCUUUGGAAUUAAUUAUUUAAUCCUCUAGCUGUAUUAUUUAGCUCUCUGAAGCAUCCUGGCCUGGAGACUGCACGAAAAAUGCUCUGCAGAUGGCAUUGGUGAUGCAGCUCAUCCCAUGGGCCCAGGGUCCUGGGGGACAGCACCCAGGGGUCCGCAUCCCAUCCAACCUCUGCACAUGGCAUCAGCAGAGCUUCCCAUAAGGAAACAGCCCCCAGGGGGAGAUGGGCUGCCGCACCCCCUCUUGAACGCGAGCAUUGGGUGCGUGCUUUGAGAGAUCCAAUACUAAUGAAGGAAGGGUUUAUUGGAUUUCAUCCCCAGGGCUCCUUAAAGUGGCACCGGGCCACAGACAGCUGCUUAUAAAUAGGCAUGUGCCAUUUAGAAGGUCACACAGCGAACCUCGAAACACGCCAGAACCUUAACAAGAAACAGCGAAAUGCAAAAGAAAUCGGGAGGAACCGCGCUCCCGACACGCACGGCCCCGGCCCCGCCACGCAGCAGCAUCCUAUGGGGCAGAGAGCAGCCAGUGCUCGUGGGGCUGCUCACAGGGAAGUGAACGCUGCCUUUCAUAAAAGCUGACUCCUCUACCCUAAAUAAAAAACAUUCCCUGCCUUGAAGAACAACAUUUUUUUAAUUAUUAUUUCAAAGUACCCUGUUCAGCAGCAGAGCAUACAAAUACUCAUAGCUACGCAAAUAGCAACUCUUUAUUUGCUUUGUUUGCUCAGCUAAUAUUGACUUUCCAGCCUAACACUGCUGCUAUUGAGUUUGGCUAUUCACAGUAAUGUUUGACUAGCAUUAGAACAGCACAGCGAUAACAGCAUGUGCAACCGAAAAAGCCAUCCAUCGCCCCUCCGUGGGAUAGUGCCAUUAUGACAGAGGGGGAAAAAAAACGUCUGCUUAUUCAGUCAAGUACAACUGUUGAAUGCAACGCUGGCAAUGACACUCCUGGCUAGUGCAAACAACCCAAGGUUACAGCGUUAUUGUGUACUCGCGCAAAGCAAACACUACAGAGCGGCUCCGUUGCUGCCCGUCACCUUGGGCAGGACCCAAGGGUUCGCUCCCUGCCUGGGGUCAGUGCGUGCUGCCCUGUGCCAAGGCUCCUCCCAGCCCUGUGCGUGCUGUGGGAUGGACAGACAGGCGGAUGGACGGACAGACGGGACCCCUCUGCGGGAGGAAGCAGGGUGAGAGCCCUGUGGAAGGGGCAGGGAGGUUGUAGAGAGAUUGAGGAGCCAGACUGAUUGCCUCGCUCGCCUCCCACGGGCGUCCACCAGUUUAUACAAAUAGCCCCGUGUGCGCAGCAGGCAGAGGCAGAGAGCAGCGCCCGUCUGGCGCAGCGAGCAGCCGGCAGCCCCGCGUGGGACCCCCAGCCCCGCGUUAUCACUGCGAGCCCCGGGUUUGGUAUUUAAAGCUGACGUCAGGAAGUUUCUCCUCCUCUGCAUCAGGAGGCAGAGAGACAGAAAUGAGAGACAGAGCUGCCGGUUGGACUCGGUGAUCUUAGCGGUCUUCUCCAGCCUUCACGAUUCUGUGAGUCCAUGAUGCUACGAGGGAGGUCGCUGCUGCACCCAAGCUCCCGGACAUCUGCAUGGAGGCAUUCCCCCUGUGAGCUCCAUGAACAAGGCAGAAGCUGCAGUUCUGCACGCACUAACUGCUGAGGAGCGAAAAACCAGCUGCAUGCAAAGACGGAAAGUAAGCACGGGGAUGGCGGAAUGUCAACGUGAUAAUUAAUAUCUUUUUAACAAAGGGAUCCAUCCGUCCUGCGCUGGGGAUCGCUGACCAGGAGGGCUCCUCCAGCCUGCAGUGGAGGCUGGACGCAGGGAAGGAGCUUAGAAUCCCCAAAUCAGAAUCAGGAAGUUUGGAAACGACGACCAAGAUCACCGAGUCCACCCGCCACCUCCUGCUCCAGCUGUCCGCAAACCGCAGAGAAGAUGAGAGAUUCCCCUCCCCUUUUUGGGAUAGAAAAGCUGAGAAAACGCAUUCAGGCGAUAAAUGACUCACGGAGCACGAGCCAGCAGCAAAAGCAGGAGCACAGCAGCUAUCUGGUUUCCACGAAACCCUGCUCUCAGCUGCUCACGUCCCGGGAAAGGCCCCGAGCGGGACCACACCAGGGUUUUGGAGAGCAACUCGGGUGUUAUUACAUGCUAUUGUUCCUGAAGCAGUGCUCAGGCUGAAGCUCCCUGCUCGCUAUGAGCUGCUCUGGGCGUGCCUGGGCCCUGAUCUGCUCGAUGACAAACAACAGCCUGUUAUUAGUGUCAUUAUUAUUGUGCACGCAUUUCUACAGAGCCCAUCACGCAGGCUCUCUCAAUGAUGCCCUCUGCUUGUGUAGCACCUUUCAUUUCAGGUCUCCUGCUGCUUGACAAACAUUAAAACCAACGGUGGAAUCGGUGCCAGAGGCAAAAAAAAAAAAAAAAAAAAAAAA